GAGGGAAGAGCUGGGAGGUGGGAAGUGGGGGAGGGGCCCCAGACCAGGCUCAGAGCAUAUCCUUGCUCCUGGCCUCCACCGCAGAAGGUGGCUCACCCCUCUGCAUGGAACAGUCUCUCUCCAUUCCCUCUACCCUGGCCUUCCUCCUCCUUGCAGGCCCCAGAAGCUGGAGGGGGCUGGUCGGGGUUGGGCUCACAGACACAGUGGUGGAGCUCACAGAAGUGCCCCCACCCACCAGGAGCCCAGGGUGGGCCUCAGCCAGCCGGGGGUAAUGAGGCAUGGGAUGGACUCUGCGGGCACCAGGCCUGACCCUGAGUGCACCCAGGCGAGGGCGGGGGACACUCAGAUCUGCCCCUCUCUGCAGGAACCUGGUUUCCCCACCCUGGAGGCCAGCGCCAAAGGACGUUCACGUGCAGCUCAACCACACAAUAUAAGAGCUACUGUCUCCAAUUAACACUUGGGGACACUGAGGCAAAGAGCCUGGCUGAAUAUUGUGCCCGUGAAGACAGAGGGACAGCCUAUUUUGUUUGCUGCUGUAUCCUUAGCACCCAGCACAGGGAAGGGGUCCUGGUACAUUUCUAGAAAAAAUGGAGGGGAGCAGAGUCCCCCUGAGCACCUGGGGUUUGAUGCCUCCCUGCCCAGAGCCCUUGCUAUAGCAUAUGCUGGUGAGGGCCGAGGCUCUAGCUCACACUCCAGACCGGGGUAGGGAUCCAAUCUGGCUUUGAAGACAUCAUGCAGAGCCUCUGCUCUGGAGAUGGGAACCUGCAGACAAAUGCCUCCUUAUCUCAAUCCUCUGAAAACAGUUUGACCAGGGAGACAGCGUUCACUCAUGAAUUUAAGAAAAAAAAAAUCCCUGAUCCCUACUUUUUGCCAACUUCAAUGCUGAUUUCUAGUGGUACCAAGAAAAAUGCAACUGAGCCUCCAUCCUCAAGGGGCUCACAGUCUUGUGUGGAGAUAAAAAAUGCAGGCCUGCUGCAGAUCCAAGUCCUGUGACCGGGGUCCUGCCCAAGGGUCCUGCUUCCCUAGGCAUCCCAGAAGUUCAGCCUGCAUCUCGACCAGAGCCUGAGAGUAGACACCUGCCGGUUUAUCUGUCCCUUCAUGUAGCAGGUGACAGAGGUGCCAGGGGCAUGGCAGGGGUACUCUGACACAGCACUGCCCCACGGAGCCCAUGUCCCAGGGCAGAAGACCCACGAUGCACAGCCAGCCAGGUGGCCUCAUCCGAUCAGUCAAAGGCCUCAAUAGAACCAAGACUGACCUCUGCCAAAGAGAGAAUUCUUUCAGCAGACGGCCUUCGGACUUGAGCUAUGACGGCAACUCUUCCCCGGGCCCACCUGACGGACUGGGUUUCUCAGCCUCCACAGUCGAAAGAACUCCAGGGUAGCUGGGAGCUUGGUAUGUUCCAGGACAGCAGGGAGGCCAGAGCCGCUGUCAGUGUGAGAGGGUCGGAGUACAGUGGGGCCCUCCCUGCAUGUGGGGCCUCAUAAGGUGGCAUAGAUGCACGCUUGUUCUGUGUGGACAGGGUUUGGGUGGGGGUGAUGCUUCCUCUGUUCCCUGGGUAGAGACUUGAUGUCUGGUGGCCUGGGGAAGGCAAGGAGGCCAUGUGGAGGCUGCUGCUGUGGUCCGGGUGAGAGGUGACGCCACUGUAGGGCAGCUGGUGGCAUGCAUAAUUCAAAAUAGGCAUAUUGACCAGAUGCAGUGGCUCAUGCCUGUGAUCCCAGCACUUUGGGAGGCCAAGGCAGGAGGAUUG
rnacentral:lncRNA from 1 species